rnacentral:rRNA from 1 species
ACCGGGGGCGACAGCAAUAUGUAGGCCAAGCUGAAGACUUUGCCUGAAUCGCUGAGAGGAGGUGCAUGGCCGUCGCCAGUUCGUACUGUGAAGCAUCCUGUUAAGUCAGGCAACGAGCGAGACCCGUGCCCACUGUUACCAGCAUGUCCUCCGGGACGAUGGGUACUCUGUGGGGACCGCCGGUGUUAAAUCGGAGGAAGGUGCGGGCCACGGUAGGUCAGUAUGCCCCGAAUCUCCCGGGCUACACGCGGGCUACAAUGGAUGGGACAAUGGGUCCCUACCCCGAAAGGGGUUGGCAAUCUCACAAACCCAUUCGUAGUUCGGAUCGAGGGCUGUAACUCGCCCUCGUGAAGCUGGAAUCCGUAGUAAUCGCGUUUCAAUAGCGCGGUGAAUACGUCCCUGCUCCUUGCACACACCGCCCGUCAAACCACC